CUAUAAUUGUCAGCUAAGUGGCGCACGGGUGAGUAAUGUAUAGAUAACCUGCCCUUAAGAAAGGAAUAACAGUUGGAAACGACUGCUAAUGCCCUAUAUGCCUUUAAUACAUAAGUAUGCAAGGGAAACGCUUUAGUGCUUAAGGAUGGGUCUGUAUGGUAUCAGCUUGUUGGUGAGGUAAUGGCUCACCAAGGCUAUGACGCCUAACUGGUUUGAGAGGAUGAUCAGUCACACUGGAACUGAGACACGGUCCAGACUCCUACGGGAGGCAGCAGUGGGGAAUAUUGCACAAUGGGGGAAACCCUGAUGCAGCAACGCCGCGUGGAGGAUGACACAUUUCGGUGCGUAAACUCCUUUUAUAUAGGAAGAUAAUGACGGUACUAUAUGAAUAAGCACCGGCUAACUCCGUGCCAGCAGCCGCGGUAAUACGGAGGGUGCAAGCGUUACUCGGAAUCACUGGGCGUAAAGAGCGUGUAGGCGGGUAUAUAAGUCAGAAGUGAAAUCCAAUAGCUCAACUAUUGAACUGCUUUUGAAACUGUAUACCUAGAAUGUGGGAGAGGUAGAUGGAAUUUCUGGUGUAGGGGUAAAAUCCGUAGAGAUCAGAAGGAAUACCGAUUGCGAAGGCGAUCUACUGGAACAUUAUUGACGCUGAGACGCGAAAGCGUGCGGAGCAAACAGGAUUAGAUACCCUGGUAGUCCACGCCCUAAACGAUGUACACUAGUUGUUGUGAGGCUCGACCUUGCAGUAAUGCAGUUAACACAUUAAGUGUACCGCCUGGGGGAGUACGGUCGCAAGAUUAA
rnacentral:rRNA from 1 species